rnacentral:rRNA from 1 species
UACAGGGGGGGCAAGCGUUGUUCGGAAUUACUGGGCGUAAAGGGCCAGUAGGCGGCCAACUAAGUCACACGUGAAAUCCCCAGGCUUAACCUGGGAACUGCGUGUGAUACUGGAUGGCUUGAAUUCGGGAGAGGGAUGCAGAAUUCCAGGUGUAGCGGUGAAAUGCGUAGAUGUCUGGAGGAAUACCGGUGGCGAAGGCGGCAUCCUGGACCGACAUUGACGCUGAACGGCGAAAGCUAGGGGAGCAAACGGG